rnacentral:lncRNA from 1 species
AGAGUUAAGGGGUGGGGUUUAGGGUUUAGGGUUUAGAGUUUAGGGGUGGUGUUUAGGGUUUAGAGUUAAAGGGUGGGGUUUAGGAUUUAGGGUUUAGGGUUUAGGGUUUAGGGUUUGAGGGUUAAAGUUCAGAGUUUAGGGUUUAGGGUUUAGAGUUUAGAGUUUAGGUUUUAGGGUUUAGAGUUGGAGAGUCGAAUUUUGGGAUAAGAUUUUAAAUUUUGAAAAAUAAAAAAAAAUUUAAAUUUUUCAAAAAAUAAAAUGCUAUUUUGAUCAUUUUUGU